rfam:Triticum urartu cultivar G1812 contig727723, whole genome shotgun sequence.
GUAGUAUUCCCUCCGUCCCAAAAUUUGUGUCUUACAUUUGUUUAGAUACGGAUGUAUCUAACACUAAAAUGUAACUAGAUACAUUCAUAUUUAGACAAAUUUAAGACAAGAAUUUUGGGACAGAGGGAGUACACA